rnacentral:lncRNA from 1 species
UAAUUUCAUCAUUCGCCGCCUGAAGAGACAAGAUGGCGGAGCUUGCGAAAUCGAAAAUUGGUACUUGAAAGUCAAUGGUUGAUCAUGAUGACCAUCUUUUAUUUAAUGGAGAAAGAAACCAAUAUUUGCAGCUGGACAGGCUGUCACCACAGUUCAAUGAUUUAGGUCAGACAUCAGCUUUUGAAGUUGCUUUCUUGGCACAUCAUGCUGUCCAGUGGAGUUCAUACCAUAUGCCAGGCCUUUAUACAUAAUCAAAGAAGAUGAAUUUGUUAUUCAAUUUGUGAAAUUUGAUUUAGCGAGGACUUUCAUAUAUGAUGAUUAUAUUCAGCAGAUUAUCUUCAAGUGUGCACUUUAUAGAAUCACAGUUUCUAGGAGGUUUUCAGUUUAAAGUUAGAUUAAUUGAAAAAUAAGGGGAGCUAUCAUACUCACCAUGGUAUCGACAUUGGCAUUACACCAGGUUUAAGUUUUUCUUACCAGUCCAUAUUUUAAAAGGACCUUUUGACAGUAUUGAAACUUACAACAGUAAUGUAUCAUCAUUAUACCAAGUUUUAGGCAAGAGUACAUAACUCCAUCAAGGAUUUGACUGAACUAUGGCCCUUUGAAACUUUUGUCACUUGUUUAUAAUAAUAGUCUCUCUAUAUAGGCAAGAGUUCAUAACACUAUAGAGUAUUUUGGAUGAAUUAUGUCCCUUUUGGACUUUGAAAUUGGUUCAGUUUUUGUACAAGUCCACAUUUUGACAAAACAUUUUGACAAAAGCUUUGAAUCUUUCAACACUAAGUCUUACCAUUACAAU